CCAAGGCUAAAUACUCCUGACUGACCGAUAGUGAACCAGUACCGUGAGGGAAAGGCGAAAAGAACCCCGGCGAGGGGAGUGAAAAAGAACCUGAAACCGUGUACGUACAAGCAGUGGGAGCACGCUUAGGCGUGUGACUGCGUACCUUUUGUAUAAUGGGUCAGCGACUUAUAUUCUGUAGCAAGGUUAACCGAAUAGGGGAGCCGAAGGGAAACCGAGUCUUAACUGGGCGUUAAGUUGCAGGGUAUAG
rnacentral:rRNA from 1 species